CCUACGGGAGGCUGCAGUGGGGAAUAUUGGGCAAUGGACGCAACCCUGACCCAGCAACGCCGCGUGAAUGAUGAAGGUCUUCGGAUUGUAAAGUUCUUUUCUAAGGGAAGAAGAAAGUGACGGUAUCUUAGGAAUAAGCCUCGGCUAACUACGUGCCAGCAGCCGCGGUAAUACGUAGGAGGCAAGCGUUAUCCGGAAUGACUGGGCGUAAAGGGUGCGUAGGUGGUUUGACAAGUUAGUAGCGCAACUCCGGAGCUCAACUUCAGAACUACUACUAAAACUGUUGGACUUGAGUGCAGGAGGGGCAAUCGGAAUUCCUAGUGUAGCGGUGGAAUGCGUAGAUAUUAGGAGGAACACCAGUGGCGAAGGCGGAUUGCUGGACUGUAACUGACGCUGAGGCACGAAAGCGUGGGGAGCGAACAGGAUUAGAUACCCGUGUAGUC
rnacentral:rRNA from 1 species